GUUAUUAUUUCUUUUAUGUAUAUGGUUGUUUUGCUUGUGUAUAUGUCUGUGUAUCACAUGAAUGCCUGGUGCCUGUAGAAACCAGAAGAGGGCACUAGAUCUCCUGAACUGGAGUUGUGUAUAGUUGUAAUAUGUUAAUAUGUGGGUGCUGAGAAUUGAGCCUGAAUCCUCUGGCAAAGCAGCCAAGGCUUUUAGCUAUGGGGCCCUUCUACAGCUCCACCGUAAGUUCUUAAAACUCCUAAGUCUCCUCAGAACCAGUCUGUCUGAAUCAAGACUUCAUUACAACAACCCCUAGCCUCUGGAGCUUGGUUUUUACACCUAAAUUCCUCGCUCUGUCGUCUGAGGGGAGAUCAGCCCUCAUGGGUGCCACUCUCUUCCAGCCCUCUCCACUGCAGCAAACAUCUCCUACAGCUUUCCCUGUGUCAGAGGCAAGGGCAGUCCUUGCCUCAAGACCUCUCAGCAUCAAAGCGGAGUUUGUUGAUGACUGAUUCUAGAACAAAGGUCAGUUGUGAAAGGCACGGUGGUGGGGGAGUGCUGCAGAGAGGCAGUUAUCCUAUAGCAAGGGAGUCGGUGGUGCCAAGGCCUUGGUUAGAAGAUGCUGGGGGAGGGGAGGGGGUGGAGAGGUGGCUCAGCAGUUAAGAGCACUGACUGCUCUUCCAGAGGUCCUGAGUUCAAAUCCCAGCAACCACAUGAUGGCUCAACCAUCUGUGAUGAAAUCUGAUGCCCUCCUCUGGAGUGUCUAAAGACAGCUACAGUGUACGUACAUAUAAUAAAUAAAUCUGAAGCAGCAGCAGCAGCAGCUUGAGGAUUUGAGGAUUCCAGGGGCUGAGAUUAAAGCCCUUUGGCUUCCUUCUGCUUCCCUGGGCCUAUCCACCCAGGGUUUGGAUGUCUUGCUGACCUGAUCCUCAGUCCUACUGUGUGGUGAUCCUGGACAGGAAAUGUAGUCUACCUGGGUCCCGCUUUUCUCCAUAAACUAUACAACGCAACUAAUGCCUAGGCUGAUAAGACAGCAUGUGCUUGGCAAACGGUAGGCACUCGCUCCAUCAGCAAUGCCUAGCGAGCAUCCUUGAAAGGCUGAUGGGGGCAGAUUCCCCAUGGACACUCUCCUUGCAUAUGGCCCCAUCUGCUGUAUGUAUAGAAGCACCCUCCAGCCUCUCAGAGAUGGGUGGGGAAGAGGGGAGGGCACAGGGGGGACGAGGCCCCCCCUGGGACUCUGAGGCAGCUCUUCUCGCUCCCCCGUGCGUGAAAUCACGAACGCCCCAAUCUGUCUACAUCCACUUCCUUUGCCAGCUCAGCAAAUGCAGAGGCGAUUAAGAAGUUAAUUAGCAGGCAGCAGGGAAGGGGCUGGGGACCCAUCCCUGCACCCCUUCACCCCUCUGUGUCCCACCCAUGACCAUCCCUUCUCCCCCUGCUGUCGAUCUUCUGAUCCAGAUGCUCCUUUCCUCCAUGUCUGAUACCUCCCUGCCACCUUCACCCUUUCUCACUCACCCUCUGCUCACUUCUGACCCCAUUCCUCUCCUCUGCUCAUUCAAGUCACCGCCUUCUUUGUUGUCAAGGUUCACUCGUCCUCCUCCCAUCUCCUCUCCUUCCUCUCUCACCUUACCAGUUCCUGUCCUGCUUGACUUUGGAUCUGAUGAGUGGGCUCCACAUCUGCCUCAGGAGCCAGCAGCUUCAUGGUCGUCUGUCAGGUCCCAGUGUCUCCCCUACAGUCCUGGAGCAUCCUCCUCUGGUCUUCGUUUCUGACUCCUGGCUCUCUGGUCUGCUCAAGGGCUCUUAUUUGUGCCAGGUCAUGGAGCGAGAGGGCACAGAUAUGGGGCAGGAGGUGGUGGCAAUUUCCCCCCUGCUGUUGCCCCUGUCCCGUGCAGCCAUAGCUAAGCUUGAACCUGUCUUUUGCCCUUCCUCCGUCCAAACUGGGGUAGGGGCUGGAAGAUGGCCACCUCUUCCCUGCCUCACAUUCUGACUUACGUAUCAACAUGUCAUUUUCCGACAUCAGUUUUUCAAGGGAAAGAUCAUUAAGGAGAAGGGGGCAAGGUAGAGAUUAAAAGGGCAGAUGCAUGGAGAGAGACCGGGUAGGUAAGGAGAGCUGGAGACAUUGAGACGGGGCAGUGAUCCCUGUGUCCUUUCCCUGACUGGAAAGUCUGGGUCUUUGAGCAAUGAGAGUCAGAGGGAAACAGAAGGUCCAUGGUGCCAGGGGCUUUUCUUACCCACAGAAACUUCCCUGAUUUAUUUUUCACCUGAGUUCCAGGUCCUCCCUGUACUCCUGUCUGGCCUUCUCUACAUCCUUUUGAACCUGUUUCACAUGGGGUGUUGCAGAAUAAGCAGGGGUUGCCUUGAUUUCCAGAGGAGAGAGUACUCUGGAUAAGGCCUGCAGGAACCGGAGGAAGAGGGUGUUGCAAGCCAAAUUUCAUCAUCGGCGGCAGCCCCAACAGAGGGAGGAGGAGGCGAGGGGCAAACAGACGGCAGAGGCAGCAGCGCUGGCGCAGAAAGGGGAGCUGUUUGGAAACAGGGUGUAGGGUGGCCCUAUCAGCCUCGUCACGCAUAAGGCUGCCUGUGGAGAGCUGGAACUCUCUGCCCACGUGGAACACGCGUGGGCACACGUGUGUGACACCUAGAGCUUGGGGGCACACGGGCACACACUUCUUUAGAAGCUGACAGCAUCCUGAUCCUUGCCUAGCAUCGGUCUCGAAAAGAGUCCCCCCCCCAAAAAAAAAAAAAAACCCAACAACAAAAACCCAACGUUGACUGACUGGUGAAUGUUGAUGGUCUAAGCAGACACAGCGCCACAUGCUCUUAGAAUCUGGUUCUGCCAGCUCGUUGCCAUCUGCCCCGUGGGCCCUGGCACGUGCCCACUUCUGGCUCCUUUCAUUUUGGGGGUUUCCAUGGUCUGCAUAGGACAAUGAGAAUUUCUGCUACAUCUGUUUAUGAGACAUGGUUACCCAGAGCUAGAGGAACCCACCACCUGUUAGCUGAGUACUCAUUCCAUGUAGGGGCGUGGGCAGGCAGCUCUGCGCUGCUUCCCACAAUCAGAAGUGAGUCCUGCCUUCAUGGAGCUAACCACCUAGGAGGGGCAACUGACACCUGGGAGGGACAACUGACACCUGGGUAGCUGAUUCGUUGAGAGAAAGAAUGUGAUGC
rnacentral:lncRNA from 1 species